UAUGGGGGUCCGUGGACGGGGCAGCACUCACGGUCAACGGCACUGCCCAUACACUCAGUCCACCCUGGCGGGGACCUCACCAAUGACCUCCAUGAAAACAGGGUCCCAGACAAGCCAGUUGGUCUGAAGGCCGUGGCGCUGACUGACCACAUCAGGGUGUGUUGGCAGCCCCCCGCACAGCACAAUGUGCUGCUGUGCGGCUACACCAUUGCCUGGGACCAAGGCGUGGCGGACAUCUACUCCAAGAUCGUGGACAGCAAGCAGCACGGUUACAUCAUUGAUAAGCUGGAACCCAACAUGGAGUUUGUGAUAAGCCUGCGAGCCUUCAACAACGUGGGUGACGGGCAACCGGUACCAGCAAGUCCGCACCCAGCCAGAGGAGGAGGAGGUGGUGGCACCCACGCUGGACCCGGCGGUGUGGGUGAAGGCCGUGGUGCUGACGCCCUUCACCGUGGUGCUGCAGUGGGCAGACACCAUGCUGAGCCAGAACCAGUACAACAGCUGCACCACCUUCUCGUCCUCAUCCUCCAGCCGCUACGUCAACGCCACGGAUGUGACCUGCCUCAUUGACAGCCUCAAGCCAUCAACAGUGUGUGAGUUUGCUGUGAAGACCAUCAGGGUGAGACCACAGUGCUGGAAGCCUUCGUUCUUCUUUCAGUAAAUAUUCACUCAGUCCUGCAACACUUCUCAAGGAAAUCCUGCACAGCUGAAUCCUUGCUGUGAUGAGGCACAGAGAAAUUAUGACUCAUAGGGUUUGGCGUGAGUCCCCCUAUAGCCUGGUGGCCUCCAACACCCUGCUGGUGGCCUGACCGUCCUGGCCCUCCCUGGCCAGCCGUCCACCACCACCUUCACCCGGCAGCCGCUGCAGCGGAACAAUGGGAGGAUCACAGGCUACGUGAUAUUCCUCACCACGGACCAAACUGUCGGUGACUGGGUGAUGGGGGAAGUGACGGGGGACUGGCUCACCCUCACCGUCCAUGGACUGACGCCUUCAAGGAAGUAUUUGCACAAGAUGCACUCUCACAAUGUCAAAGGUUUUGGUCCAUUCUCCUCCGUGGAAAGCUUCACGACUUCCAGCUGUUGACAAGAGCAUCGGUGAGCCCCAGGCUGGUGUGUGGAGCGAGAGGCCUGAUUGUGCUGGUGAUCGCUGGCGUGGCAGGAGCCAUGACCAGCUGGGGGCCUUCUUGGCCACCACACUGUACUGCCGCGGGUCAAGGCGGAGCCCAGGCCAAGCAUUGUUGUUGGCGGCAGCUGCAGUGAGAGCAACAAGCCUGGCGUCCAGCCUCCAGACCUGUGGAUCCAUCACGGCCACUUGGAGCUGAAGAACUUUGACAAGGGUGAGCGCAGCAACUCCCCCAACCACGCCUCCAUCAUCCAGCACACAGGAGUCGCGUCACAUCACAAUGGGACCAAAAAAGGACGAGAAGGGACAAGACAAGAAGAAAAGGUCUUCUGCUGC